rfam:Thermosynechococcus elongatus BP-1 DNA, complete genome.
UCGAGCCGGAUGCGGGGAAACUUGCACGUCCGGUUCCUAGGGGGCUAGGGGGCAGCGAUGCCCCCCUGCUACCCGAC